CUCUCGGGUGACGAGUGGCGGACGGGUGAGUAAUGUCUGGGAAACUGCCUGAUGGAGGGGGAUAACUACUGGAAACGGUAGCUAAUACCGCAUAACGUCGCAAGACCAAAGAGGGGGACCUUCGGGCCUCUUGCCAUCAGAUGUGCCCAGAUGGGAUUAGCUGGUAGGCGGGGUAAUGGCCCACCUAGGCGACGAUCCCUAGCUGGUCUGAGAGGAUGACCAGCCACACUGGAACUGAGACACGGUCCAGACUCCUACGGGAGGCAGCAGUGGGGAAUAUUGCACAAUGGGCGCAAGCCUGAUGCAGCCAUGCCGCGUGUGUGAAGAAGGCCUUCGGGUUGUAAAGCACUUUCAGCGGGGAGGAAGGCGGUACGGUUAAUAACCGUGCUGAUUGACGUUACCCGCAGAAGAAGCACCGGCUAACUCCGUGCCAGCAGCCGCGGUAAUACGGAGGGUGCAAGCGUUAAUCGGAAUUACUGGGCGUAAAGCGCACGCAGGCGGUCUGUCAAGUCGGAUGUGAAAUCCCCGGGCUCAACCUGGGAACUGCAUUCGAAACUGGCAGGCUGGAGUCUCGUAGAGGGAGGUAGAAUUCCAGGUGU
rnacentral:rRNA from 1 species